rnacentral:rRNA from 1 species
CUUCGGAGGUGACGAUAAUGGAAUGAGCGGCGGACGGGUGAGUAACACGUAGGCAACCUGCCUGUAAGACUGGGAUAACUCGUGGAAACGCGAGCUAAUACCGGAUAACACUUUUCAUCUCCUGAUGAUAAGUUGAAAGGCGGCUUUUGCUGUCACUUACAGAUGGGCCUGCGGCGCAUUAGCUAGUUGGUAAGGUAACGGCUUACCAAGGCGACGAUGCGUAGCCGACCUGAGAGGGUGAUCGGCCACACUGGGACUGAGACACGGCCCAGACUCCUACGGGAGGCAGCAGUAGGGAAUCUUCCGCAAUGGACGAAAGUCUGACGGAGCAACGCCGCGUGAGUGAUGAAGGUUUUCGGAUCGUAAAACUCUGUUGUUAGGGAAGAACAAGUACUAUAGUAACUGAUAGUACCUUGACGGUACCUAACCAGAAAGCCACGGCUAACUACGUGCCAGCAGCCGCGGUAAUACGUAGGUGGCAAGCGUUGUCCGGAAUUAUUGGGCGUAAAGCGCUCGCAGGCGGUUCUUUAAGUCUGAUGUGAAAUCUUACGG